CCUGGAACAUUAAAUUAGGAUUUUAGCGACAAUAAAGUCUCUUCCAGACACACCCAUUUAGAGUCUAGCGUAAUGAGGUCAAACCUGGCGCAAGAGAGGCCGAGCCUCCCUCGGACGCCAUGCCAGUUCGGCAGUUCAGCACAGCUCACGGACCGGGGCGGACCUACGUCCCACGGAGGGGCAACAGCCUUUGUCUUCAUCGAAAGUAACGUCCGGGGGCCAACUCAGUCGCCUCUCACCAGGAGCCGAGGUCGGUCGUCUCUGCAUGUCAUGAAGUCAUCAUCUUCGCGCCAACAUUGAGUUCGCUGCAAUAAAGGUGGCGCCGGGGUGCGAGCUACGCCCAGGGCCGGACGCCUCCGCCACCGCGCCGAAGGAGAGUGACGCCGUCACGGGAGCCCGGGAUACUGCAAAUACUGAGCCACUUCUUGGACACAGAAGCUCAGUAAGGCAGCGUUGGGCAUGAUGCUGAGUGAGGCAGAAGUCGAGUUUAACCCGGAGGAAGGGAUCAAUAUGUUACGGGCCAAGGUUCGGGAGCUCAUUCGCCGGGACGGCGAUAAAGAUCUGAUGAAGGCAGGCAUUGUGGGUACAUGUGAAUAGCAAUGAUGAGCUUAACAGCGGCAAGAAACUCAACACUUGUUACCCUCACAACUAAAACAAUUAAGUUUUUGUGAUUUCUGUAAUUCUUACCAUCAGCUGAUCAUACAAGUUUUAAAGUUACGGAAAUAUAGUUUUUUGAAUUGUAAUUUCCAACCAAUAAUAAAAAACUGACGCAUACGAAAAAAGUACAAUUAAUUUCAUAAAUUCAGGUAAUACCCAUCCUUUCUAUUUUACCCAUUGGUAGUUAUGUUGAGAUAUUU